UUUUCUAUUUCUCAACGGUUGUCAGGGGAUUGACUGGUUGUCUAAGUCAAAGAAGGGACGCCCCAAGAAGACGAACCGGACUCGCCACCACCAACAGACAAACCAUACCAGGGCCCUACCAAUACUUGCCGGACUACGUGAAUCAUAGUUCUAUGCAUUCGGAUUAUUAAUUUAUCCUGCGGCGGUGUUCUUUUGUGGUCCUUAACGAAAGUAGCACCCUCCCCCCAUCCACCCCCAUAAAAGAGGAAUAAUAAUGGGUGAACAACUUCGCCCCACAUCCUCCCUGUAAUAACCCGGUCUCAAUAAUGGUUUUUUUAAGAGUAAUCACAUUAACAACGUCCUUAUUCUCAAAUUUAGCGCCUUGUCGGGCUGGACACCUUGUUCAUUUAAUUGGGCUAGGUUCUCCCUCAAUCCCGGGUGACAAAGUUUGGGUUAUGAUCAUGUUGGGCUUGGGUCGGUGUGGUUCCUCUGCCCAAGGCGUAUUACCAUGAGCAAAUCAGAAUGCUCAAAGUAGGCCUUCGUGCCUGAAUGUGUUAGCAUGGAAUAAUAAAAUAGGACCUUAGUCUUGUUUUGUUGGUAUACUAGACCUUAGGAAAUGAUGAAUAGGAACGGUUGGGGGCAUUUGUAUUUGGUCGCUAGAGGUGAAAUUCUUGGAUUGACCGAAGACAAACUACUGCGAAAGCAUUUGACCUAGGACGUUUCCAUUGAUCAGGGACUAAAGUUGAGGGAUCGAAGACGAUUAGAUACCGUCGUAGUCUUAACCACAAACUAUGCCGACUAGCGAUUGGAUCCUCGCCACUGGCAGGAUUCAGCAGCUUAGCGAAAGUAAAGUUUUUGGGUUCUGGGGGGAGUAUGGGACGCAAGGCUGAAACUUAAAGGAAUUGACGGAAGGGCACCACCAGGAGUGGAGCCUGCGGCUUAAUUUGACUCAACACGGGGAAACUCACCAGGUCCAGACAUAAUAAGGAUUGACAGAUUGAAAGCUCUUUCUAGAUUUUAUGGGUGGUGGUGCAUGGCCGUUCUUAGUUCGUGGAGUGAUUUGUCUGGUUAAUUCCGAUAACGAACGAGACCUUAUUCUGCUAAUUAGCUGGGCCAACUUUUUAGUUGGUGGUUUCUAGCCUUCGGGCUAGCCAGCUUCUUAGAGAGACUACUGAAUACAAUUCAGGGGAAGUUUUAGGCAAUAACAGGUCUGUGAUGCCCUUAGAUGUUCUGGGCCGCACGCGCGCUACACUGACAAAGUCAACGAGUUUAUUUUAUACCUUGGCCGGAAGGUCUGGGGAAACUUUUGAAACUUUGUCGUGCUGGGGAUAGAGCAUUGCAAUUAUUGCUCUUCAACGAGGAAUUCCUAGUAAGCGUAACUCAUCAGGUUGCGUUGAUUACGUCCCUGCCCUUUGUACACACCGCCCGUCGCUACUACCGAUUGAAUGGUCAUAGUGAGCAUGUGGGAUCUUUGAAGACUGGUUGGCAACAACCGGUUUUUGAGGAGAACUAUGGCAAACUAGAUUAUUAGAGGAAGUAAAGUCGAACUGCCCC
rnacentral:rRNA from 1 species